AGUGAACGCUGGCGGUAGGCCUAACACAUGCAAGUCGAACGGCAGCACAGUAAGUGCUUGCUCUUACGGGUGGCGAGUGGCGGACGGGUGAGGCAUAUAUCGUAAUCUACUUUUUCGUGGGGGAUAACGUAGCGAAACUUACGCUAAUACCGCAUACGACCUUCGGGUGAAAGCAGUGGAUCUUCGGACCUUGCGCGAUUGAAUUAGCCGAUGUCGGAUUAGUUAGUUGGCGGGGUGAAGGCCCACCAAGGCGACGAUCCGUAGCUGGUCUGAGAGGAUGGUCGGCGCCCAUGGAGCUGAGCCACGGUCCGGACUCCUACGGGAGGCGGCAGUGGAGAAUAGUGGACAAUGGGCGCAAGCCUGAUCCAGCCAUGCCGCGUGGGUGAAGGAGGCCUUCGGGUUGUAAUGCCCUUUUGUUGGGAAAGAAAAGCAGCAGGUUAAGACCCCGCUGUUGUGACGGUACCCGAAGAAUAAGCACCGGCUAACUUCGUG
rnacentral:rRNA from 1 species